rnacentral:lncRNA from 13 species
GAAAUAUAGAUCUCAAUAUUACUCGAGGGGUAGUCAUACGUGUCUAGAUCGUAAGGCGUAAGGCUGAAGUAAUAAUAAAAUCUUGCAUGAGCAAAGUGUGUGUCAGAGAUUUCAUUGUGUUUUUAACUGAUUAAUACAAUUCGGCAGAAGUGCAACGAGCAAUAAUGGAUAUGAAAAUCAGAACAUUCCUCAUCAUCAUUAUUAUUUUAUUCAUUUUUGGCUCAAGUUCGCGUAAAAUAGGAUGGAACCUAUUGUUAAGCAGGUACUAUAAAGGAUCAAUAUUCAGGACCAGUAAUAGCAAUCCGACGUCUCUAUCCGAAUUUAUUAUUAAAACUAGCAAGACAAAUGCAUAAUCACAGAUAUCCAUCACAAAUAAUUCACCGUCAAAUUAUCAAUCAGGAGAUAGAGGGAAGAAAUCUAGAUCGAAGUUCGAAGAUCACAUCCUGGGCACAAAUUUUAUAAACGCGACUCUGGAUAUAAACAAGAUAUAUUGAAAUUCUGAUUGUUUAGUCGUUGGAUUAUUAUAAAUUAUAGAGAAAAGUCGCCAAUAUUGAUAUCUUAAAACAAGACUUCCUUAUUUCUCAAAAAUUAAACAUUGCGUUUUAUUAAUACA